GAUUUUUUAGGAGCUUUUAUUGUUUUAGUAAUCUUAACAUAACUUAAAAUAAGAGAGGGGAAAUGACAUCUGGAGAUCUAGGUAUGUGGCCCAUUGCAAUUGAGCACAUUUCUUGGGUCUGUUUCUCUAUCUCUAAGGGGAGUCUCAAAACCCCAGCUCAAAAUACGACACUAACAUGAUGAACAUGCAUGAGCUUUGAAAAGCAGAGCCCAGCAGAUCCGUGUCCACCCAUGUGCCAAUAAGACAAUGGGCAAAGCUACAAAUGGCAAGAGAAAAAUGGGACUAUUAAUGCGUGUGGAAAAGGCCUUAAUAGUUAAGUUACAGCUAAGAAUGUCAUGUCUUGGGUUAGAAUUUUCAUUUUUAGCACCGUUAAUGUAUUCACUUAAAUCUAUGUUAGCACCUUGUCUCCAGGCAGAACAACAAACCAUCCAAACAUUUUAAACAUUGGGGGAAACACGAAGGGGAGGGUUAAAGAGAGAAUCCGGUACUGUGGAAGGAGUGGAUUUAGAU
rnacentral:lncRNA from 1 species